GACGUAGGGCGCGAGCGUUGUCCGGAUUUAUUGGGCGUAAAGCGUGCGCAGGCGGUUUUGUAAGCCAGAUGUGAAAUCCCCGGGCUUAACCUGGGAAUGGCAUUUGGGACUGCAAGGCUGGAGUGCGGCAGAGGAGACUGGAAUUCCUGGUGUAGCGGUGAAAUGCGCAGAUAUCAGGAGGAACACCGAUGGCGAAGGCAGCUCGCUGGGACGGUACUGACGCUGAGGCGCGAAAGCGUGGGGAGCAAACAGG
rnacentral:rRNA from 1 species